GAUUGAACGCUGGCGGCAUGCUUUACACAUGCAAGUCGAACGGCAGCACGGGCUUCGGCCUGGUGGCGAGUGGCGAACGGGUGAGUAAUACAUCGGAACGUACCCAGAAGUGGGGGAUAACGUAGCGAAAGUUACGCUAAUACCGCAUACGUUCUACGGAAGAAAGUGGGGGAUCUYMRGACCUCAUGCUUUUGGAGCGGCCGAUGUCUGAUUAGCUAGUUGGURRGGUAAAGGCYYACCAAGGCGACGAUCAGUAGCUGGUCUGAGAGGACGACCAGCCACACUGGAACUGAGACACGGUCCAGACUCCUACGGGAGGCAGCAGUGGGGAAUUUUGGACAAUGGGCGCAAGCCUGAUCCAGCAAUGCCGCGUGAGUGAAGAAGGCCUUCGGGUUGUAAAGCUCUUUUGUCAGGGAAGAAACGGUAGGRGCUAAUAUCYCUUGCUAAUGACGGUACCUGAAGAAUAAGCACCGGCUAACUAC
rnacentral:rRNA from 2 species